ACUGAACGCUGGCGGCAGGCCUAACACAUGCAAGUCGAGCGGUAGAGAGAAGCUUGCUUCUCUUGAGAGCGGCGAACGGGUGAGGAAUGCUUGGGAAUCUGCCCAGUAGCGGGGGAUAACGUUUCGAAAGGAACGCUAAUACCGCAUACGCCCUACGGGGGAAAGGGGGGGAUCUUCGGACCUCUCACUAUUGGAUGAGCCCAAGUCGGGUUAGCUAGUUGGUGGGGUAAAGGCCUACCAAGGCGACGAUCCGUAGCUGGUCUGAGAGGAUGAUCAGCCACACUGGAACUGAGACACGGUCCAGACUCCUACGGGAGGCAGCAGUGGGGAAUAUUGGACAAUGGGCGAAAGCCUGAUCCAGCCAUGCCGCGUGUGUGAAGAAGGCCUUCGGGUUGUAAAGCACUUUAAGCGAGGAGGAAUGGCUCUUGGUUAAUAACCUUGAGCAGUGACGUUACUCGCAGAAUAAGCACCGGCUAACUCUGUGCCAGCCGCCGCCGUAACAC
rnacentral:rRNA from 1 species